ACUUUAAUCAUUACUUCAAGUGAGAUCCAAGAAAUGUUGAAUCACAGGCAAAUAUUAAUGAAACUGGAAAAAAGUUCCUAAAGCCUGGAAAUGCCCUCAUGUCCAUCAUCUUUUCAAGAAUGAGAAACUAUGAAUUGGGAUCUAGAUCCAAGCCUGUAGUUUAUCAAGGAUUGCCAACAAUCUGUGCUCUAAAGGAAUACAGUUGUACCUAGUACAAAGUAAGUAUACUGUUGUGAGUAGCAUUGUUACUUUUGAAACUAUGAAUUUUCCUGGCAACUUAUACAUAACACACCAUACAAAAUCAGUUCUCGCUGUUUGUCACCCAUAUGUAUUUUUGCAGAUACUCUUUAUUUCAAAGAGAGUUUCUUGCUCUACAAUUUUACAAUCCUCCAGGACAAAACAUACAUUACACAUUUUUACUGUAAUGAUAUUUUAUAUUAAAAACAACUCCAGCUCUG